UGGGCAACCUGCCCCUGACACUGGGAUAACCCCGGGGAAACCGGAGCUAAUACCGGAUACUCUCGGCCGAUCACAUGGCUGGCCGAGGAAAGGUCCGCCGGUCAGGGAUGGGCCCGCGGCCUAUCAGCUUGUUGGUGGGUAACGGCCCACCAAGGCGACGACGGGUAGCUGGUCUGAGAGGACGACCAGCCACACUGGAACUGAGAUACGGUCCAGACUCCGUACGGGGAGGCA
rnacentral:rRNA from 1 species